rnacentral:misc_RNA from 1 species
AACGCACAUUGCGCCCCUUGGUAUUCCAUGGGGCAUGCCUGUUCGAGCGUCAUUUACACCCUCAAGCUCUGCUUGGUGUUGGGCGUCUGUCCCGCCUCGUGCGUGGACUCGCCCCAAAGGUAUUGGCAGCGGUCGUGCCAGCUUCUCGCGCAGCAUACGCGCUACGGAGGCGGGUCGGUCGGCGUCCACAAGCUCAUUUUACCCGUUUGACCUCGGAUCAGGUAGGGAUACCCGCUGAACUUAA